AUUGAACGCUGGCGGAAUGCUUUACACAUGCAAGUCGAACGGUAGAGGGGGCAACCCCUCGAGAGUGGCGAACGGGUGAGUAAUAUAUCGGAACGUGCCCAGUCGUGGGGGAUAACGUAGCGAAAGUUACGCUAAUACCGCAUACGAUCUACGGAUGAAAGCGGGGGACCCGUAAGGCCUCGCGCGAUUGGAGCGGCCGAUAUCAGAUUAGGUAGUUGGUGGGGUAAAGGCCCACCAAGGCGACGAUCUGUAGCUGGUCUGAGAGGACGACCAGCCACACUGGGACUGAGACACGGCCCAGACUCCUACGGGAGGCAGCAGUGGGGAAUUUUGGACAAUGGGCGCAAGCCUGAUCCAGCAAUGCCGCGUGCAGGAAGAAGGCCUUCGGGUUGUAAACUGCUUUUGUACGGAACGAAAAGGUCUGGGUUAAUACCCUGGGCUCAUGACGGUACCGUAAGAAUAAGCACCGGCUAACUACGUG
rnacentral:rRNA from 1 species